CACAGCAACUUGCUCUCCUGGCUGGCUUCCCGCACCACCUGCAGCGCCACCCCGCGGCCGCCCGUGGCCUGGGACUGUGAAUAUCCUGGACUUGUCAGGGUAGAUGGGCUAGGAUUCUAGAGCCUAGAAUCAAUGCAAUACUCCCUGGACCACUGCUUUGCUGUUGUUAAUCCUGCUGACCUCAACUUUCUAGGACUUCAGGCAGGCCAUUUUCCAUGGAUUUCAGCAGUUAUCUAGUGAGGGAGAAUGAGACAGCUAUAAAGAUACCAGCCACUGAACACUCCAUCAAGGGAUCCCACAGAAGACACAUCCCUCCAUUACUUGCUUCUUGGUUCAUACCAAAACCAGGGAACUAAAGAAUCAUCAAGGGCCCCUGGUGGUUGCUCUCAUGUGAGUGUCCAAAGCACUGGAGCAGUGUUGUCCAAUACAUUCUGUGAUGAUGCCGUGUAUACAGUGACGUGCCCUGUCUAUGCACUGACCAAUACAGUGUAGCUACUGUGCCCUUGGAAUGUGGCUGGUGGGACAGCAGAACCGAAGUUUUGGCUGUAAUCAUUUUAAUUAAUUAAAAUAAAAUUGCCACACAUG
rnacentral:lncRNA from 1 species